rnacentral:rRNA from 1 species
UGAAUACGAGAUGCUACGGCGUCGAAGCAGUCUAUGUCAUACUUCCAAGAAAAGCUUGCACUGUCAUAAACAAAUAAUGCCUGUACCAUAACCGACGCAGGUGGGUAGGUAGAGUAUACUAAGGGGCGCGAGAUAACUCUCUCUAAGGAACUCGGCAAAAUGACUCCGUAACUUCGGGAGAAGGAGUGCCUUAUUUAUAAGGUUGCAAUAACAAGAUCCAAGCAACUGUUUACCAAAAACACAGGUCUCCGCUAAGUCGUAAGACGAUGUAUGGGGGCUGACGCCUGCCCAGUGCCAGAAGGUUAAAGAAGUUGGUUAGCAUCCGCGAAGCUGAUAACUGAAGCCCUGGUGAACGGCGGCCGUAACGAUAACGGUCCUAAGGUAGCGAAAUUCCUUGUCGGGUAAGUUCCGACCCGCACGAAAGGCGUAAUGAUUUGGAUACUGUCUCGGAGAGGGGCUCGGUGAAAUAGACUUGUCUGUGAAGAUGCGGACUACCUGCACCAGGACAGAAAGACCCUAUGAAGCUUUACUGUAACCUGAAAUUGAAAUUGGACUUUACUUGCGCAGUAUAGGUGGGAGGCGUUGAGAAUAUUCUUGCGGGAUUAUUGGAGCCAUCAGUGAGAUACCACUCUUGUAAUGUUAGAUUUCUAACUUUGUAUCAUUAUCUGGUCAAAGAACAGUUUCAGGCGGGCAGUUUGACUGGGGCGGUCGCCUCCUAAACGGUAACGGAGGCGCACAAAGGUUUCCUCUGAACGGGUAGAAAUCGUAUCUAGAGUGUAAAGGCAUAAGGAAGCUUGACUGUGAGACCUACAAGUCGAGCAGGGACGAAAGUCGGUCUUAGUGAUCUGACGGUGCUGAGUGGAAAGGCCGUCACUCAACGGAUAAAAGUUACUCUAGGAUAACAGGCUGAUCUCCCCCAAGAGUUCACAUCGACGGGGAGGUUUGGCACCUCGAUGUCGGCUCAUCGCAUCCUGGGGCGGUAGUACGUCCCAAGGGUUGGGCUGUUCGCCCAUGAAAGCGGUACGCGAGCUGGGUUCAGAACGUCGUGAGACAGUUCGGUCCAUAUCCGGUGUAGGCGUUAGAAUAUUGAGAGGAGCCUUCUUUAGUACGAGAGGACCGAGAAGGACAUACCUCUGGUGUACCAGUUAUCGUGCCAACGGUAAACGCUGGGUAGCUAUGUGUGGAGUGGAUAACCGCUGAAAGCAUCUAAGUGGGAAGCCCACCUCAAGAUAAG